UACGUAGGGUGCAAGCGUUGUCCGGAAUUAUUGGGCGUAAAGAGCUCGUAGGCGGUUUGUUGCGUCGGCUGUGAAAUCCCGAGGCUCAACCUCGGGUCUGCAGUCGAUACGAGCAAACUAGAGUGUUGCAGGGGAGACUGGAAUUCCUGGUGUAGCGGUGAAAUGCGCAGAUAUCAGGAGGAACACCGGUGGCGAAGGCGGCCAGCUGGGCCAGGUCCGACGCUGAGGCGCGAAAGCGUGGGGAGCAAACAGG
rnacentral:rRNA from 1 species